GAUCCCCUCCGAUCUGGAGAUUGGCAGAUUAUCUGUUAAAAAAUAAAGCAAAUGUAGAACAUAUAGAGAAUUUAAUUGAUCUUUUUUUUAAAGAGAAUACAUCUGAGGAGUUAUCCAAGGAAUGCCUAUGGUGUUCUUGUAAAGCAGUUAUCAGGGGAAACUGGAUUAAAUUAGCAAGCCACCAAAAAAGGAACAUAGAUAAUAUCUUGUCCGAUCUUUAUAUCAAAUUUUACAAUCUUUCUAAAGCUAACAAACAAUCUUAUUCUGAGGAGAGAGCAUUAUCUAUUAAGGUUUGCCAAGAAAAGAUAAAUGUACAGAUUAAGAACAGG